UGAAAGCUUCCUCUCAAAGACUAAGAUUUAGAAGCAUCUACUCUGUGGUACUCUUGAAGCCGGCUCCCAUGUCCCACAUGCAAAUCUUAUAUAGUAAUUCCUAGGCCAUCAGUAAAGGUGUCUGCACAGUGCGUUCAGCUUGGGGCCCCUAGGUUCUCUGCUCUUGCCACUACAGACUUCAAGGUACACACACGACUAGCCCUUUAAACCCAUGGCAGGCAGAGAAAGGAGGUGAAACAAAUACUCAAUCUGUGGUGUUUGGUUCUGCAGGGCAGGGUACAGUCUCAGUGGAGAUGGUGGGGGGGCUACAUAUUAGAGAAAUGGAUUUAGUAGAGUCUGUACUUACCCUCACUUUGAGUCUAAGUAAAUAAAUGUUCUCUUCCUUGGUGGCUUGAUACUGUGAUACACUCAAUUACUUGUUUUUCUGAUAGUAUAGUAGUCUGGAAACUUUAUGGUAUGGGUAUCUUCUAACAUCUUGUUUCUCUGCUUGGUCUUCAGAACUUAUAAGAGGCAACCUACUAGGUCUGGGGUUGGCAAAUUAUGCUUUUUUUUUUUUGGUAAAGUUUUGUUGGAACAUAGCCAUGCAUAUUCAUUUGUGUUGUCUAUGGCUACUUUUGUACUGAAGCAGAAUUAAGUAGCUGUGAUAGACACAUAGCCUGCAAACCUAAAAUAUUAACUAUCCCUUUAAGAAAAAGUGUGUCAACUCCAGUAGGACUUACUUCUCAUUUAGGGCAGUGGAUCACAUGACUGAACAUCAAGGCAAGGCACCUUUGACGGUGAGCUUCCUUUAUCUAAUUUAAAGCUGGUCAAGGUAAGUUUUUUUUUU